AUGAACGCUGGCGGCGUGCUUAACACAUGCAAGUCGAACGAAGCACUUUAUUUGAUUUCCUUCGGGACUGAUUAUUUUGUGACUGAGUGGCGGACGGGUGAGUAACGCGUGGGUAACCUGCCUUGUACAGGGGGAUAACAGUUGGAAACGGCUGCUAAUACCGCAUAAGCGCACGGCAUCGCAUGAUGCAGUGUGAAAAACUCCGGUGGUAUAAGAUGGACCCGCGUUGGAUUAGCUAGUUGGUGAGGUAACGGCCCACCAAGGCGACGAUCCAUAGCCGACCUGAGAGGGGGAUCGGCCACAGUGGGAAUGAGAGACGGCAGAAAGUCGUAGGGGAGGAAGCAGUAGGGAUGAUUAGGGAAUGGACGAAAGUGGGAGCGAGCAAGGACGAGUGAGUGAAGAAGGUUGCAGGAUGGUAAAACUAGGUUGGUAGAGAAGAACGUUGGUGAGAGUGGAAAGUUCAUCAAGGGACGGUAAAUACGCAGAAAGGGAGGGCUAAAUACGUG
rnacentral:rRNA from 1 species